ensembl:lncRNA
GAAAUGUCUGUCGCUGGUAGCCCACAGAGGACUUCUACGCACUCAAGAACAUUCAAGUAGUCUAUUCUCGCACAUUUUGUAUGAAUGACCUAAAAAUUCAAAAUGAUUGUGUGCGAAUAUUCAUAGAUUUAUGGUGCCCCACAGCUGAGGCGAACUUCCUCAGCGAUGUCAACGGGUAGGCUAAGAUUAUUUAUUGAAAGAUGGAUGUUGGAUAAUUUAUGUUAAAUUGAAAGGCUAUCAUGCGGCUACAAAAUAACGACUAAUAGUUCUGCAGAGCGUUUAGCUCAUAUUUCAAUAACCAAACACAAUGGCAUUUUUUCCCCACAAAAGCAAGCAAGUUUAGCUAGUUCAUCUUUCCUGUGAUGCAAAUGUCAUAUGUCGUUGCCUGUGAUGACAGACUGGCAGGCGAGGCGCGCAUCUGGCUGUUCACCGCGUAGCAUUCAGCGUCGCGCAUAUGUUGUUUAUUAAAAUCUCGAAAUCUCCACCGAGAAGUCUAUAUUUCAGACUACGUAUCCUAGACUACGUGUUCGGGUUUAUGGUCGUGGCAUGGGAGGAAGCAGAGAGAAGACGAAGGAAAGGUGAGAAGGACACAGGGUAAGCUAUGUAUGUUCGUUUACACGAGUGCCUCGUUGAGAAGGACGCCGAAGAAAGCAGCAUUGGUGAAAGAGUAUUGUUUCACCGCGUGAUGCCGCUCCCUAGUGAAGGCGCUCAGGACGGUAACAGGAACGGCAAGUCUUUUGUAUAAUAAUAGCCUAAGCCUACACCCAAGUCCCCCUAUAAAACUGCAGUUAGAUACGUUAUAUUAUUGGACAUUGCAUGCUGUCCAAUACACUAUUAGGCUAUUUUGUCUCCGGGUUCCAAAUGAAACCAAUGACAGGCCUAACACAGUCUUGGUCUGUACUUUAUAAAGGGAUUGUGAAGGCUAGUAGACCUAGUAGUAGACUAUGUAUGACUCCUUCAGAUAGUUUAGAAAUCAGCCACAUCACCGAACUAUGUGUUAAACAUCAACAUUACAAUCCCAAUGUCAACCAAUGAGUUAUAACUACUGAUUUAUAAAAUAUGUUAUACUGAAUCAUCUAUAAACUAUUACAUCGCAUAACAACGCCGCUAUAAAGUAGGCCUUCAUUUAAAGUGAUCUGCUGACAAUUAGCAGCCUAUAGGCUCGCUUGCUUACUUGCUCAUGGUGGCGCAAUGUGCUGGACAGUGGCAUGCCAUAGCUCUCUGUUGUUCAUAUCAGCUGGUAGGUCCUCCAUUCUGAGACCAGUCUGGACAGAUGUCCACAUUGGUUCCAUGUGGCUUUACUAAACGUCUUCGCUCAU